rnacentral:rRNA from 1 species
CCUACGGGCGGCAGCAGUGGGGAAUAUUGGACAAUGGGGGGAACCCUGAUCCAGCGACGCCGCGUGAGUGAAGAAGUAUUUCGGUAUGUAAAGCUCUAUCAGCAGGGAAGAAAGAAAUGACGGUACCUGACUAAGAAGCCCCGGCUAACUACGUGCCAGCAGCCGCGGUAAUACGUAGGGGGCAAGCGUUAUCCGGAUUUACUGGGUGUAAGGGGAGCGUAGACGGCGGUGCAAGCCAGAUGUGAAAGCCCGGGGCUCAACCCCGGGACUGCAUUUGGAACUGUGCUGCUAGAGUGUCGGAGAGGCAGGCGGAAUUCCUAGUGUAGCGGUGAAAUGCGUAGAUAUUAGGAGGAACACCAGUGGCGAAGGCGGCCUGCUGGACGAUGACUGACGUUGAGGCUCGAAAGCGUGGGGAGCAAACAGGAUUAGAUACCCGAGUAGUC